ensembl:lncRNA
GGAGGCCCUAAGCACCUCCCACACGGCCGAGGCGGAGCGCCAACGCCAUGGCCUCCUGGACAAGCACAAAGUACCCAGCAGCCCUUGCAGUGCGCCCGCCUCCCAGCUCUCCACCCCUGCCAGACAGCAGGUGCAAAAAUAAAGCUACACCAGGAGAGAGUGAGAGGAGAGGCAGGUGGAGUCCACUGUCGCUAUGGAAACCAGGGGCUUUCCAUAUAAGGCAACUGAGUGAUAUCAUAUAGUUGGCGGUGGCUUAACCAGAGGUAGAGCAAGCAGCACAUACUGUUCAGAGAGAGAGAGAGAGAGAGAGAAAGAGAGAGAGA